rnacentral:rRNA from 1 species
UUGAUUUUGACUUUUAUCCUACAUGGAUAACUGUGGUAAUUCUGGAGCUAAUACAUGCAUAAAAGAUGUUUCUUUAUUGAAACAUUGCGUAUAUUAGUAUUAAAACCAAGCAUUCUUCGGAAUGUUUUGUGUUGAAACUGAAUAUAUCUGCUGAUCGUAUGGUCUUGUACCGACGACAUGUCAUUCAAGUGUCUGAUCUAUCAACUUUCUAUAUAAGUAUAUAGUACUUAUAUGGUUUUGACGGAUAACGGGGUAUUAGGGUACGACUCCGGAGGAAGUGCCUGAGAAACGGCGUUUACAUCCAAGGAAGGCAGCAGGCGCGAAAAUUACCCACUCUCAGUACGAGGAGGUAGUGACGAGAAAUGACAAGAUCUAUUCCUUCGGGGAUGGAUCAUUGGAAUGGUUUGAUUUUAAAAUCAUUAAAGAGUAUCAAUGAGAGGGCAAGUCUGGUGCCAGCAGCCGCGGUAAUUCCAGCUCUCAUACUGCAUUGAAUUGUUGUUGCGGUUAAAAAGCUCGUAGUUGGAUCUGUACAUGAUAGGUUAGUUUAUUCUUUACGGAAUAUAACUAAUACUAAAUGUUUUUUGUUAGAUUUUUUUAUGGUUCGUAAGGAUCAUAAAAUGUCUAACGAGUUUACUUUGAAUAAAUCAGAGUGCUCAAAACAGGCGUAAGCUUGUAUGGUUUUGCAUGGAAUAAUAGAACAUGACUAUGGUUCAUGUUUUAUUGGUUUUACUUACCAUAGUAAUGAUUAAAAGGAACAAACGGGGGCAUCCGUAUCGCAGGGCGAGAGGUGAAAUUCGUGGACCCUUGCGAGACGAACUACAGCGAAAGCAUUUGCCAAGAAUG